rnacentral:rRNA from 1 species
GAUGAACGCUGGCGGCGUGCCUAAUACAUGCAAGUCGAGCGAACAGACGAGGAGCUUGCUCCUCUGAUGUUAGCGGCGGACGGGUGAGUAACACGUGGAUAACCUACCUAUAAGACUGGGAUAACUUCGGGAAACCGGAGCUAAUACCGGAUAACAUGUUGAACCGCAUGGUUCAACAGUGAAAGACGGUCUUGCUGUCACUUAUAGAUGGAUCCGCGCCGCAUUAGCUAGUUGGUAAGGUAACGGCUUACCAAGGCAACGAUGCGUAGCCGACCUGAGAGGGUGAUCGGCCACACUGGAACUGAGACACGGUCCAGACUCCUACGGGAGGCAGCAGUAGGGAAUCUUCCGCAAUGGGCGAAAGCCUGACGGAGCAACGCCGCGUGAGUGAAGAAGGUCUUCGGAUCGUAAAACUCUGUUAUUAGGGAAGAACAAAUGUGUAAGUAACUAUGCACGUCUUGACGGUACCUAAUCAGAAAGCCCCGGCUAACUACGUG